CAUGAUCUCAGCAGUUGGCAAUAGGUGCAAUCGAGUGAAAAGGGUCUAAAAGUUCAUGUGACAAGGGCUACUUUAGCAAUGAGCUCCUCAUAUCUAAUAUUAAGUUAUUCUGUUUUAAAAUAAUUUUUAAAUUAAAAAACUUCAAAAGUUUUUGUUUGGGGUUGUUCACUGUUGCCCUGUCAUCUGUAAACAAAUGAAAUACGAAACUCAACACGGUCAUGUAACUAUUUAUUAUUGUCAUUUGCCCGAAUACUGUCAAUUUGGUGGGCAUUCUACAGUAAGUAUGAAAAUUAAAAUGUUUUUUUCAAAAUUCAAAGCUUUUGUAUAAUUUUUUCUUUAAUUUCAAUUUUCAAAGUUCAUAAACAUUUCAAUUCCAAAAUCAGUGUUACCAUUAAAUUCGCCAUUUUGUUGGUGACAAAUUUUGUUUUUCCAGUUUAUUUGUGGCGUGAUUUUUCGGCAAAGUGUUUCUUGCGCGUUUUCGAGAAUAAUUAAUUAAUUUCGGGUAAUUAAUGUGUUCUAUUUUUCGCAAAUGGACGAAUUCCGUGCUACCCAUGCUACGUUAUGUGGUUAUGAUGUGAUCGACGAAAAAGAACGGUCAGAUUUAUUCGCAAAUCUGAUGAACCGGCUGCAGGAUUUGAGACGAUAGAUAUUGAUCUUGAUUCGAUGUUAUUCUUUGUGUUUCAAUGGAACUAAGUAAAAUUGAUCGUGUUACUUUCAUAAUUGAAUGGUAUUCUUACAAUGUACGUGUACUCAAAGGUAUGUUUAAUAAGCUACAAGUUCAUUUAACGUUCGCUGAGCACCACCGGAAAGACUACCACCUAUCACCAGCUUCAGUUUCACUCUUCGUAAUUGUCAACAAUAUGGAGGACCGAUGGCAGGUUGAUUCAUCUACCACUGAUUUCGAAGUGAUGAUUUGACCUUGCAGAACUACUGAUAUCGAAAUCAAUUUGAAAAUGGAAUCCAGCCAAUAGAUCACGAAAUAGAUUGAAAACAGAACUCGAAGAAAAAAAUGGAUUUUAACUUUAAGAUCACGAAAUCGAUUGAAAAUGAAACUCGAAGAAGAAAACGGAUUUCAACUUUGAGGUAAGCCAUCGAUAGUUUCAAAUUUUCAAUAAAUAUUUUUUCAAGUAUGCCAACAUUGUCUCGAAUUCUAAAAUCAAACUAUAAAAUAAUAAUAAAAAUACACCUUGGAAAAAUAUAUCACAAAAUUUAUUUUCCAUUACAUGUUUAAAAAUACAAAAUGAUUUCCGUUUUGUGUUUUAAUUAAAAAUUAAAUUAGAAUUUUGAUAAUCGUAAAAACGUAUUAUUGUUAAUCAUAUAAAGGCAGCGCAAAAAAACAUGAAAACCAAUCAUAAAUGUAAUAUUCGUCGCGUAACAACAUUAUUAACUAUCGUGUUACACUUAUCCAACGUACACACGGUUUCUUUUGGCAAAACAAUUUUUGGCAGUUUUUUUCAACUUUUUAACGAUUACACAAUAAACUCAGGAAAUCACAGACGUUAUACAUCAAAAAAUAAUAAAAGAAAAAUAAAAAGAAAGUUACAAAAAACAUCAUUAGGAAAAAAAGAAGAAAAAAAAACAGUUACUUAUACGAUAUUAAGUAUUAAAACCGAUUAAUAAGUUAAACAAUUCGUAAUUGAGAAAAAAAACAUUCGUAUUAUACAAGUUACAAUAACUAAAUCUACUGCAAAAAAAAAAUGACUUUAAAUGCAAAUCUUCCAGCGGUUGAGUAUAAUCGCUUCGAUUAAAAAAUAAUAUAAAAAAAAUAACUCACGCACGCACACUUAAUAAUUACACGCAAUAAAAAAACAAAACAAAAAAAAAA